rnacentral:rRNA from 1 species
GAUGAACGCUGGCGGCGUGCCUAGUACAUGCAAGUCGAGCGAACAGAUAAGGAGCUUGCUCCUUUGACGUUAGCGGCGGACGGGUGAGUAACACGUGGGUAACCUACCUAUAAGACUGGGAUAACUUCGGGAAACCGGAGCUAAUACCGGAUAAUAUUUCGAACCGCAUGGUUCGAUAGUGAAAGAUGGUUUUGCUAUCACUUAUAGAUGGACCCGCGCCGUAUUAGCUAGUUGGUAAGGUAACGGCUUACCAAGGCGACGAUACGUAGCCGACCUGAGAGGGUGAUCGGCCACACUGGAACUGAGACACGGUCCAGACUCCUACGGGAGGCAGCAGUAGGGAAUCUUCCGCAAUGGGCGAAAGCCUGACGGAGCAACGCCGCGUGAGUGAUGAAGGUCUUCGGAUCGUAAAACUCUGUUAUUAGGGAAGAACAUACGUGUAAGUAACUGUGCACGUCUUGACGGUACCUAAUCAGAAAGCCACGGCUAACUACGUG